UUUAAACAUAUUUUUAUUGCAAACCAAAGGGUUACUGGGUUUCUUUCUGCCCCCAAAGAAGAGGAUUGUAAUUAGCCGGGAGCAGAGGAGCCGACAUUUUGACGCCAGGGAGCGGCGGCACUUGGCAAAUAUCCCUCGGCACAGCCACAGAACUACAGGGACGGACGCUGCAGAGUCUGGUUUCCUUCAGCAGCUUGCACUGCGCGUUCUCAUUGGUGACCCGAGAUGAAACGCCCAUCCCGCAGCUGCGCGAACAAGGCGUCCAGCUUGUCGUCUGUGCAACACAUUGCCGUCCGGCUUGCUUCCAUGCUAGGAAGAAGUGAGAGAGAUUGGGGUCAGGCUCGUUGUCUGAGGGAAAUUAGCAUCUCCAUAAAGCUUGUCAGCAGAUGGAAGCAUAAAGGGCUCCAAAAUCUCCAUGUAGACGGCAACAACGAUAAAACACUAUGUAGCAACACCAGCAGACGUUAUCCAUCACCAACUUCAGAAACCUCACCCUGGACGUCAAGCAGCUUGGAUUCUGUUCCUCUCCACACUUCCUCUGGACUCCAGACCUUGAUUUCCAAACAAAAUGCAAAAUUUACUUUUACCUGAAAAGAGCGCCCCGGACCACCGUGUAACAGUCCAGACAUGUUUCUCCUCAGGUAAGAUGAUUCUGGUGUGGUUUCUGUCUCAGAAGUGUCUUGGCAGCCCUUUUCCUGAAGACUCUUGAUGCAGCGUUCUCGAGCUUGAGCUCAACACCUUUUCCUUCCCAAUUUCUUCCUUUCAGUCAACUUUGCAUUUACUAUGCUUUGAUACAGCACUCUGCGAACACUCUCUUUUCAGCAGUGACUUGCCCUGUUGGUGGAGGACGUCAGUGAUUGUCUCCGGGGACCCUUGCCAAGUCAGCAGUCUUCCCCAUUAUUGGGGUUUUUAAAGAGCGAGAGAUACCCAGACUGUAAACUCUAGAAAUGGCCAUUUAAUGAAACUCAGACAACAUUUUCGAGAUGCUGUUCUUUUGACUUUCGUGAGCCGUAAGCGCUAAUCACGUCCAGUGAAUCUAGAAUAUCUAGAAUAUACGAAAGUUUAAAUGACCGAAAAACCGAACCUUUUCCCAAUAUUUGCAUGUUUUGAGACGCGUUGAGUCGUAGUUACCAAACGCUGUGGGGACACACAGAACAGCGC